UACGUAGGGACCAAGCGUUGUUCGGAAUUACUGGGCGUAAAGGGCGCGUAGGCGGCUUUUUAAGUCAGACGUGAAAUCCCCCGGCUUAACCUGGGAACUGCGUCUGAUACUGGGAGCUUGAGUUCGGGAGAGGGAUGUAGAAUUCCAGGUGUAGCGGUGAAAUGCGUAGAUAUCUGGAGGAAUACCGGUGGCGAAGGCGGCAUCCUGGACCGAAACUGACGCUGAGGCGCGAAAGCGUGGGGAGCAAACAGG
rnacentral:rRNA from 1 species